rnacentral:tRNA from 1 species
GCGCACAUGGUCUAACGGUUAUGAUUCGUGCUUCCCAAGCACGCGACCCGGGUUCGACUCCCGGUGUGCGCA